UGAGGAAUAUUGGUCAAUGGCCGCAAGGCUGAACCAGCCAAGCCGCGUGAAGGAUGAAGGUGCUAAGCAUCGUAAACUUCUUUUGUCAGGGAACAAAGAAAGAUACGCGUAUCUUGAUGAGUGUACCUGAAGAAAAAGCAUCGGCUAACUCCGUGCCAGCAGCCGCGGUAAUACGGAGGAUGCGAGCGUUAUCCGGAUUUAUUGGGUUUAAAGGGUGCGCAGGCGGCGCGGUAAGUCAGCGGUAAAAGCCCGGGGCUCAACCCCGGCGAGCCGUUGAAACUGUCGCGCUUGAGUUAGAUCGAGGUAUGCGGAAUGCGCAGUGUAGCGGUGAAAUGCUUAGAUAUUGCGCAGAACUCCGAUUGCGAAGGCAGCAUACCGGGUCUUGACUGACGCUCAGGCACGAAAGCGUGGGGAUCGAACAGG
rnacentral:rRNA from 1 species